GCAAACUUGGUCAUUUAGAGGAAGUAAAAGUCGUAACAAGGUCUCCGUAGGUGAACCUGCGGAGGGAUCAUCAAAGAAGAGAUAAUUUUUUAACAGGGGUCCUCUCUCUCUCUAAAGAGAGGGAGAUCCUUGUUAAAAACAAACAAAUAUAUACAUGACUAGGAAAAAAGAUAUAAGAAAGGAGGGGGGGGGUAUAAGUUUUUGACUGAUAAGAUUUGGAAAGAGAGAUAUAAAACUUUCAACAACGGAUCUCUUGGCUCUCACAUCGAUGAAGAACGCAGC
rnacentral:misc_RNA from 1 species